rnacentral:rRNA from 1 species
CGCUGGCGGCGUGCUUAACACAUGCAAGUCGAACGAUGAAAUUCUGACGGAGGCUUCGGCCAACUGAAGGAUGGAUUAGUGGCGGACGGGUGAGUAACGCGUGAGUAACCUGCCUCUCAGAGUGGAAUAACAUUUGGAAACGAAUGGUAAUACCGCAUAACGUCAUGGAACCGCAUGAUUCUGUGACCAAAGGAGCAAUCCGCUGAGAGAUGGACUCGCGUCCGAUUAGCUAGUUGGAGAGGUAACGGCUCCCCAAGGCGACGAUCGGUAGCCGGACUGAGAGGUUGAACGGCCACAUUGGGACUGAGACACGGCCCAGACUCCUACGGGAGGCAGCAGUGGGGAAUAUUGCACAAUGGGGGAAACCCUGAUGCAGCAACGCCGCGUGAAGGAAGACGGUCUUCGGAUUGUAAACUUUUGUUCUUAGUGAAGAAGAAUGACGGUAGCUAAGGAGAAAGCCACGGCUAACUACGUGCCAGCAGCCGCGGUAAUACGUAGGUGGCAAGCGUUGUCCGGAAUUACUGGGUGUAAAGGGAGCGCAGGCGGGACUGCAAGUUGGAUGUGAAAUACCGAGGCUUAACCUCGGAGCUGCAUCCAAAACUGUAGUUCUUGAGUGAAGUAGAGGUAGGCGGAAUUCCGAGUGUAGCGGUGAAAUGCGUAGAUAUUCGGAGGAACACCAGUGGCGAAGGCGGCCUACUGGGCUUUAACUGACGCUGAGGCUCGAAA